rnacentral:tRNA from 1 species
GAGAUUUAGCUCAGCUGGUUAGAGCGUUCGGUUCACAUCCGAGAGGUCAUGGGUUCGAGUCCCUUAAUCUCC